rnacentral:rRNA from 1 species
GACGAACCGUCCAAACGUUGUUCGGAAUCACUGGGCUUAAAGGGUGCGUAGGUGGCGCCGUAAGUCGGGUGUGAAAUUUCGGAGCUUAACUCCGAAACUGCAUUCGAUACUGCGGUGCUUGAGGACUGGAGAGGAGACUGGAAUUCAUGGUGUAGCAGUGAAAUGCGUAGAGAUCAUGAGGAAGACCAGUGGCGAAGGCGGGUCUCUGGACAGUUCCUGACACUGAGGCACGAAGGCCAGGGGAGCAAACGGG